AUGCUGUCUCAUCAGCGUUAAAUACGCGUU
rnacentral:sRNA from 1 species